GCCGGCGUGGCGGAACUGGCAGACGCGACGGACUCAAAAUCCGUUGGCCGCAAGGCCGUGUGGGUUCGAUUCCCACCGCCGGUA
rnacentral:tRNA from 1 species